AUGGCUUCGUCCACCUCUCUGCUCCCCACUCUCCUGGUGCUGCUCGCCGUCGCCGCCACCGCGUCGGCGGCUGCGUCGACGUUCGUCCGGGCGGCCGACCUCGCCGAGCGGCUGGACGGAGUGGGGCAGCAGCAGUGCUGGGGGACGCUGCUGGACGUCAAGUCGUGCACGGGGGAGAUCAUCCUCUUCUUCCUCAACGGCGAGGCGUACCUGGGGCCCGGGUGCUGCCGCGCUAUCCGCAUCAUCGAGCGGCGCUGCUGGGCCGCCGACCUCAUGCUGUCCGUCAUCGGCUUCACCCCGGAGGAGGGGGACAUGCUCAAGGCCUACUGCGACGCAGGCGACGACGACAACGACGGCGGCGAGGGGCGUCAUCAUGGCGUCGGCGGGUUAUCCCCGGCUCCGCCGCCUCACCGUGCUCUUGACGGCGUCGCGAGUGGCGGCACAGCCGUGCCCGUGGCGGGAAUGGUUAACUAA
rnacentral:rRNA from 1 species